UGAGCAUCUGAAGAACAGCGUUGGAGUGGAGACACUCCAUGGAAAGUCCUCGGAAGCAGCUGAAAGGCAGCCUUAAUUGGUGUGUUUAUCAUUUGAAUAGAUUAAUGCUGUUAGGUAUGGGUCUACUGAACGGAAUGAGGCUUACUCUUAGAUGCUC